GCCGCGCUGGUGUAGCCCGGCCAAGCAUAAGGGGCUCUCGACCCCUUGACCCGGGUUCAAAUCCCGGGCGCGGCACCA
rnacentral:tRNA from 1 species